rnacentral:tRNA from 1 species
ACCUGCCUGGCUCAUUUGGUAGAGCAUGUGACUCUUGAUUUCAGGGUUGUGAGUUUGAGUCCCACAUUGGGUG